GACAGACAGCAGACUGCUGGAGAUUGCUUUCAUCGAGCUUUGGAAACUGUACACAGACUCUAAUUGUCCGUUUGGGGCACAAGACAGUGGAAAGUUGCUGACUUGAAGCGACCAUGGGAAACGAGCAUUCAACUCAG